UGUGCAAAGGUAGCAAAAUCAAUUGUUCAUUAAUUGUGGACUGGAAUCAAUGGCUCGACGAUAGAAACACUGUCUCUUUCUACUUAUUUUGAAUUUUAUUAAAGAGUGAAGAAGCUCUUGUGUAAUAGCGGGACGAGAAGACCCCGUUGAGCUUUAGUUAGACUAAGCUUAUACAAAUCUUAAUAACUUAGGUUGGGGCAACCAUUUUUAAAUAAAACAAAAAUAAUAAAUGGAUGAUUCAAAUCUUUUUAAUAAGCCUUAAUUUUAGGAAAAUGUAAAAAGUUACCACGGGGAUAACAGCGUAAUUUUUUUUGAGAGUUCUUAUUGACAAAAAAGUUUGCGACCUCGAUGUU
rnacentral:rRNA from 1 species